rnacentral:rRNA from 1 species
UACGGAGGGUGCAAGCGUUAUCCGGAUUUACUGGGUUUAAAGGGUGCGUAGGUGGGUUGGUAAGUCAGUGGUGAAAUACUUUCGCUUAACGAAGGAACUGCCAUUGAUACUACCAGUCUUGAAUACAGUGGAGGUAGGCGGAAUGCGUCAUGUAGCGGUGAAAUGCUUAGAUAUGACGCAGAACACCAAUUGCGAAGGCAGCUUGCUACACUGUUAUUGACACUGAGGCACGAAAGCGUGGGGAGCGAUCCGG